ACACAUGCAGUCGAGCGGUAACAGAUCCAGCUUGCUGGAUGCUGACGAGCGGCGGACGGGUGAGUAAUGCAUAGGAAUCUGCCCGAUAGUGGGGGAUAACCUGGGGAAACCCAGGCUAAUACCGCAUACGUCCUACGGGAGAAAGGGGGCUUCGGCUCCCGCUAUCGGAUGAGCCUAUGUCGGAUUAGCUAGUUGGUGAGGUAAAGGCUCACCAAGGCAACGAUCCGUAGCUGGUCUGAGAGGAUGAUCAGCCACAUCGGGACUGAGACACGGCCCGAACUCCUACGGGAGGCAGCAGUGGGGAAUAUUGGACAAUGGGGGCAACCCUGAUCCAGCCAUGCCGCGUGUGUGAAGAAGGCCCUCGGGUUGUAAAGCACUUUCAGCGAGGAAGAACGCCUAGCGGUUAAUACCCGCUAGGAAAGACAUCACUCGCAGAAGAAGCACCGGCUAACUCCGUGCCAGCAGCCGCGGUAAUACGGAGGGUGCAAGCGUUAAUCGGAAUUACUGGGCGUAAAGCGCGCGUAGGUGGCUUGAUAAGCCGGUUGUGAAAGCCCCGGGCUCAACCUGGGAACGGCAUCCGGAACUGUCAAGCUAGAGUGCAGGAGAGGAAGGUAGAAUUCCCGGUGUAGCGGUGAAAUGCGUAGAGAUCGGGAGGAAUACCAGUGGCGAAGGCGGCCUUCUGGACUGACACUGACACUGAGGUGCGAAAGCGUGGGGUAGCAAACAGGAUUAGAUACCCUGGUAGUCCACGCCGUAAACGAUGUCGACCAGCCGUUGGGUGCCUAGCGCACUUUGUGGCG
rnacentral:rRNA from 1 species